CCUACGGGAGGCAGCAGUAGGGAAUAUUGGGCAAUGGAGGGAACUCUGACCCAGCCAUGCCGCGUGCAGGAUGAAGGCGUUAUGCGUUGUAAACUGCUUUUAUAUAGGAAGAAAUAGUCCUUGCGAGGAAAGUUGACGGUACUAUAUGAAUAAGCACCGGCUAACUCCGUGCCAGCAGCCGCGGUAAUACGGAGGGUGCAAGCGUUGUCCGGAUUUAUGGGUUUAAACGGGUGCGUAGGCGGUUUAUAAGUCAGUGGUGAAAGACGGUCGCUCAACGAUUGCAGUGCCAUUGAUACUGGUAGACUUGAGUGGGAUUGAGGUAGCUGGAAUGGAUAGUGUAGCGGUGAAAUGCAUAGAUAUUAUCCAGAACACCAAUUGCGUAGGCAAGUUACUAAGUCUCAACUGACGCUGAGGCACGAAAGUGUGGGGUAUCAAACAGGAUUACGAUACCCUGGUAGUCCACACUGUAAACCGAUGAUAACCUACUGUUGCUUUCGGGUACAGUGGUACAGAGUAAACUCGUUAAGUUAUCCGUACCGUACGGGUAGGUACGGCCGGACCGACGGUACGAACGUACGAAAGAAGUUAGUACGGCGUGAGACGUACGACCGACGGACGACGACGAGGGAGGAGG
rnacentral:rRNA from 1 species